AUUUGGCCGCCCCAGGUGUGAUGGGAGAAGGGGCUGAAGAACAGAGCACCCUCAUACCCUGUGGCUUCACUUGAGGUUCUUUCUGCCUUUGGACCCUCCCCUUCAAUGGGAAGACUAUGUGUGACAGGAGAGUAACAACUGAAAAUGUAAAAAAAUGAGGACACUGAGUUCAAGAGAGGUGAAGUCAGCUGGCCAGGGGCCCAGCAGACAAGUGGAAGAGCUAGGAUUUGAAGCCAGGUCUUCUGAGAAAGAUGAAGUGAGAGCCGCAGGCGGACACGUUCCUGCCCCUCUUGAGCUAAGAGAAAGAAGGCCACACCUACAGGGACAUCAAGUUGUUGAAGUCAGAAACGUGGGAUCCUCCUUCUCUUCCUUUCCCUCAAGCUCUGCAUUCGAUCUGCUGCCAACCUUUGUGGCUGUCCUACACGUCUCCGGAAUAUAUGCAGUUCCCACUCUGCACGGGCCCUCCUGCAGUCCCCUCAGCUCUCCGUGUUAACCCUGGCUCCUUUCCCAUCUAUUCCUGAUGACGGUGGCCGGAGGAAUUUUGAUAAAAUGCAGAUCUGGCCUUGUCACUCCUUUGCUCAAAAACCUGCUGGUGGGUCCCCAGGGCACCGUUAAUAAAACCCAGGCUUCUCUCUGUGACCUACAAAUCCCUCUGUUAUCUGGCCCUCACACGCUAUGUUCCAGCCACUCUGGCCUAUUUUCAGUUCUUCAAAUACUUGGAGUUCUCUCUGGCUCUGGAGUCACACAGACCUGGAUUUGAGUCCCAGGUAACCUUGGGCAAGUGGCUGCACCUCUCAGAGUCCCAUUCUGCUUAUCUCUGAAAUGGGUAUACUUGUGCAGCGUAUGUCAGGACUUAAACAAUACAAUGUACGUGGGACCUUCUUUUGCUUGAAACCUAUAGGUUUCCCUCGGAAAGGGGAGGAGAAAGGGAUUAAUGUAGUUUCCUGACAAUUUUCCUUGAAUUCUCUGCUUUAACAAUAAAAUAAC